GAUUUCCUCCAAGGCCCGCCCAAAGCUGCGGCUGUCACUCAACGCCAACACGCGGGUCACGUGGCCCGAGCUGAGGUCCCCCAUCUUCAGAGACACGCCUUCAGUGGAUUGGCUAGUCCACGGUGGGAGGGGGGGUGCCUUCUGAAAAGGGAUGAUGCAGGAGCUACCUUCUGUUAGUUAUAGGUUGUUUCCUCGUGAGUGAUAGGCCCAGUGUCUGUGCCUAAUGCAUGCAAAUAAAACCGUCCCCAAAUGAUACUCCCAUCUGGGAUUCUGUAGGAUUGUUCCUGAGAAGAGACAAGCCUGAUAUUUGCACCACUUCCAGGCUGAGUUGAGUAAAAAUGAAUUUAGCCAAAUAGCCUGAAGGUAGUAAGUGCUCAAGAUACAGUUGACUGGACAACUCUUCCAUUUCAUCUUUGUGUAUAGGAGCUCUGAAUCACCGGAGAGCAUGUAAGCCCAAAGCCUCUCCAGACCCUAGGGUAUCAGUCGAAGACUGCUCAAGAAUUAUUCUUGUACUUGGCCCCAACUCUAGAUCACAGCAAUUUAUACAUGCCAUCCCUGUUUCAGAGACUGUUCAUUUUCAUCUGCCAAGCCAUCCACUUUUUUCCAAGCCUUCAGUCAAAUAAUGUCUCCUGAAGAAAAAGAAGAGAGAAUGAUAUAACUGUCAGAGUUUUAUCUGAAAGAAGGCAUUAUUAUAUAGAGUUGUGUGUGUGUGUGUGUGUGUGUGUCCAUUUCAAAGUGUAACUGUUAAAGAGAAACAGUUAACUAACUGGUCACUUGUUAAAGAGUCUUCCAUCUUUGACAGGGAAAGGAUUGGGGGAGCAUUCAUUUAACAGCUUUUUAUGAAAUGUGUACUUGGCCUGCUGGCAAUGAGAGAAUGGACCAGAUACAUUCAAGAUGUUUGUCUUCAAGGGGUUUGCAGUCCAUUGAGAGUGAGAAAGACAGGCUGCAGGCCCAUUACCUUAAUAGUCUGUGACCUUCUGAGCUGAGAAACAUGGUUCCUUGCCCUCAAGAGGAUCAAGUUUGGAGAAAGAUAACAUGAUUGUCUACAUAGGAAAUCUGAAUGAAUCAACAGACACCUGAACUAAUAAGUGAAUAUACCAAAGUUGCAAGAUACAAGAUUUUAUUUAUUUAUUUGAGAGAGAGAGAAUGAGAGAGACCAUGAAAGAAAAGGUCAGAGGGAGAAGGAGACUCCCCAUGGAGCUGGGAACCUGAUGUGGGACUUGAUCCCAGGACUCCAGGAUCAUGACCUGAGCUGAAGGCAGUCGCUUAACCAACUGAGCUACCCAGGUGCCCUAACCAUGAUGUUUUUUAGAAGUAAAACUCAUUACAACUAUUCCGAAUCCAUUUUUGGCUAAGUGAGGAGGAAAGUUUUACCAGCUGAUGGCCGUUUGAUGACCUACAUGGAAAGAAUUGGUAGACUCAGGAGAGCACAAUUGAGAGAAGUGAUCACAUCACAAAAUAUGACAUCAUUCUUUGGCACCAGCUGGCAUCCUGGACAUGGAGAAGAGAGAGAGAGGACAAGCAGAGGAAGCAGCAGACAGAGCAGGCAGAUGGAGAAGCAGGCUCCUCGCUGAGCAGGGAGCCUGAUGGUGGGACUCCGUCCCAGGACUCUCGGCUCACGACCUGAGCCGAAGGCAGCCGCCUAACCAACUGAGCCACGCAGGUGUCCCUCCAUACUGUUUUUCAUAGUAACUGUACCACUUUACAUUCUCAGAGUGCAAAAGUGUUAGAAUUUCUCCACAUUUUUGCAAACACUUAUUUUCUGUUUGUUUUUUGUUUGAUAGUAGCCACCUUAAUGGGUGUGAGGUAGUAGCUCAUGAGGAUUUAAUUUGCAUUUCACUACUGAUCAGUGAUUUUGAGCAUCUCCUUGUGUGUUUAUUGGUCAUGUGUAUCACUUCCUUGGAAAAAUAACUUGACUCUUGCCCAUUGGAAAAAUAACUUGACUCUUGCUCCGGGUUCUUUGGAGCUUUUUGUUGUUGAGCUGUUGUUCUUUAUACAUCCUAAAUAUUAACCCCUUGUGACAUAUAUGAUUUGCAAAUAUUAUCUCCCAUUCUGUAAGUUACCUUUUCACUCUAUGGAUCAUGUCUUUUGAUGCACAGGAGUAUUAUGUAGUUUACACACUGUUUUAUGUAGUUCAGUUCAUCUAUUUUUUUUUUUCUUUUGUUGCCUGUGCUUUUACUGUCAUACUCAAGAAAUCAUUGACACAUCCAGUGUCAUGAAGACUUUCUCCUAUGUUUUCUUCUAAGGGCUUUAUCCUAUUUAAUUCUUCACAUGUAGGUUUUUGAUCCAUUCUGAGUUCAUUUUUGUAUAUGAUGUAAGAUAAAAGUUCAACUCCAUUGUUUUUGUAUGUGUUGUGCCAGUUUUCCCAACACCAUUUGUGGAAAAGACUGUCAUUUCCCCCAUUAAAUGGUCAUUGUCACCCUUGUGAAAAAUCAUUUGGCAAUAUAAGUGAAGGUUUAAUUCUGAAAUUUUUAUUCUAUUCCAUGUGUCUAUAUAUCUGUUUUUAUGCCAAUACUACACUUUUUUUUUUAAAGAUUUUAUUUAUUUAUUUGACAGAGAGAACACAAGCAGGGGAUACAGCAGGAGGAGAGGGAGAAGCAGGCUCCCCGCUGAGCAGAGAGCCGGACCUGAGGCUCAAUCUCAGGACCCUGGAAUCAUGACUGGAGCCAAAGGCAGACACUUAAUACCUGAGCCACCCAAGUGCCCCUACGCUGUUUUUACUACCAUGGCUUUGUAGUAAGUUUUGAAUCAGGAAGUAUGAAACAACCAAAUUUGUUCUUCCUUUUGUUUUGGUAAUUCAGGGUCCCUUGAAAUUUCAUAUGAAUUUUAAGAUUUUUUUUUCUAAUUCUUCAAAAGAACUGUUGGGAUUUUGAUAGGAUUUUGAUUGUGUUGGGUCAGUAAGUCACCCUAGGUGGUAUGGGUAUCUUAAUAUUAAGUUUUCAGUUUCAAAUAUAUCUUAAGCCUGGGAACAAGGACCAUUUUUAAAAAGCCAUUUAUUUGGAUGAAAGGAAUUGUAAACAAUUUAUUCUAGGCAAUCAAAACUUCAAGCUCCAAGAAACUGAUAAGGGAGUAAAGAUUGGAGUGGUUUGUUGGUCAAAAAAUUGAAACACGAGCAGUAGAAUUCACUAAUCUGGUGGAAGAGACAACGAUACAGUUAGAUACAGUUUUGUUAUUAUUAAAUUGCUAUGUAUACAAGGUUUUACUUAUGUGUUUUUUAUUCUAUUUCUAUUGAUUAUGUCUAUGGUGACAUGGUGGCACCGUAUUACAUUUUUAAUUAUUGUAAUUUUAUCAUUUGUUUUAAUAGCCACUAGGCCAAUUAUCUAUGCAUUGUUCUUUUCUCAUAAAUAAUUUAAUCUUGGGGCACCUGGGUGGCUUAGUCAUUGAAAUGUCUGCCUUCAGCUCAGGUCAUGAUCCCAGAGUCCUGGGAUCAAACCCCAAGUCCUGCUCCCUGCUCGGUGAGCAGCCUGCUUCUCCCUUUCCCUCUGCCUGUCACUCUGCCUGCUUGUGCUCUUUCUCUCUGUCAAAUAAAUAAAAUCUUUAAAAUAAAUAAAUAAAUAAAAAUAAUUUAAUCUUGUUCAUGAUUUUUUGAAGAAAGUUUUAUGAAAUUUUUAUCAAGUUUAAAAAACAUUCUGAUGAGAAUUUUCACUUAAAUCAUAUUAGAUAUAUGAGUUCACUUGAAGGCACUUGAUAUCUUCAUAAUAUUGAAUCUUCAACAUCCAAGAAUUAGGUAUGACUUUCCAUUUAUUCAAAAUUUAUCUCUCUACAAAAAGUUCUAUUAAUUUCUUUAUAUGCUUCCUACAUAUUGUUAAGUUUGACAUAUUAUAUAAUACACAUUAUAUAAGUUUGAUUAAGCAUUGGAUUUUGAAUUUUAUCUAUUAUAUCAAUCAGGGAUCAACCCAGAACACUGAAGGCACUCUGUGUAAUCCACCUACAGAGUUUAAUAUAGGAAUUGUGGGCUUAUGCAACUCUUAGAAGAACAGGAGACAUAGGAUCAGGGAGUUCAAAAGUAAAGAUUUCAGCCUAUAACACCACAGAAGGUGGUUCUCAAGAAUUCUUGAAAAAGCCAGUAUAGAUCUCAUGUAUGCUCAUUUGUCAGUUUGCAACUGCCUCCAGAGAGUAAUGACCUUUCCUUCUCUUGUGCCCUAUAAACCUCAUGUCAGUGCUUCUUACUGGUAGUCUGUGGCUUCUCCUCUGCUAUAAAAGGGUAAAGAAGUAAUGCUAAGUGAACUACUAUCCAGUCCAAUUUAAGAAGAUCAACAUUGUUGCAAUGAACAUCUAAUUUAUUUUAAUGUGAUAAUUUAUAUGAAUGGGUUUUGUAACAUUAAGCUAUUUUGGGGGGAAAAAAUGCCUAACUCAUUUUGGUGUAUUUUGUGACAUACUGUCAACUUUAAAAUUAUUUUAUUUACUUGAAUUUUUUGAUAUUAUUUUUAUAAAAAUUUUCUGCAAUGAUAUCAUAUUAUGGUAUCUUUGGUUCUGCUACUAAGAUUAUAUUUGCAUUAUAAAAUAAACUAAGAACAUUUCUAUCUUUUCUUGUCUUCUGAAAAUUUAAAUUUAUCACAUGGAAAUUACCUAUUGCUUAUUAACUGGAAAUAACACAAAAAACUUCUGGGCCCAAUACUUUUUUUACCCAUCACACCCCCCCAAUCCAUUUUAUGAGUAAAUGUUGAUCUGUGCUCUUCUCAAUUUAACUGAUACUGUAAUAGAAAUGGAUAAACUUUCCAAAGCUGAAGAAAUAUGUACAUUUGUAAUGGAAAUAGUUCAAUAACUGGACCAGGCUAAAUUAAUUAAAAAAUGGACAAUUAGGAUAAAAAUGUUAAAUUUCAAAGAUAAAAGAAAAUAUUCUAUGACAAAGCAGCCAAUUAACAAAGGUUGCCUAAAAAGGAAUAAAAAUCAGAUUGGCCUUGGGUUUGACCAUAACACUGAAAGGGAGAAAACAAUGUAUCCUCCUUUUGAGACAACAUUUCAUUACCCAAAAUUCUAAACUCAGCUAAAUUGUUCUUUACAUACCAGUCAACAGAAAGGCAUACUCACAUAUGCAGGAGCUCAGAAAUUGUACUGUCUGAAUUUUCUGAAUGAAAACAUUUUGAAAGAGAUGCUUCUGUCCAAUGGGAAAUGCAUCAAAAUAAAUGAUAAAAGAGAGAAGAAAUUGUAAUAAAAAAGAAUUGAAAUGAGCAUCAAUGGCAGUUCAACAUUGCAUUAAAUUUAAAUGUUUGUUGGAAUCACUGAUGCAAAAUUAAUGCAAACAUCAAAACAUUAAGAAAUGUCUAAUACAAAAUAUUUUCUAAGAUUAAAGACAGUCAUUAAUGGGAUUUAAAACAGCAUGGCAAAGACCUAAAAUAGUUGUAUGAGCUUGGGCAUGAGGCAGUUUGUUUUGCAGUCACUGUUGAUAAAAUAAUCUAAUCAUUUCAUAAAAUAAUUUGGGGGACCCCUGGGUGGCGCAGUCAGUUCAGUGUCUGACUCUUGGUUUCAGUUCAGUUCCUGAAUUUAGUGGUGUGGGAUCGGGCCCCACAUUGGCACUACAAUCAGCAAGGAGUCUGCUUGAUUCUCUCUCCCUCUGCCCCUUCCACUUGUGCUCUCUCUCUGACUAAAAUAAAUAAAUUAAAUCUUUUUAAAAAAAGAUAAUUUAGAACUUUUUAAAAAUUCAUACCUUAUAACCCAGUAUUUCUACAAUUAGAAAUUUGUUCUAAGGAAUAAGGAAAUAACAUGCAAGAUUUGUCUUUAAACUCUUGUUUAUAAUAGAAAAUAUAUGGACCUAUCAUAUUCUGUCCUAUGCCUUGGUCUCUAUAUUUGUUUCUUUUGUUUUUUAAAUAUCUUAUUUAUUUAUUUGAGAGAGAGAGAGAGACAGAGACAGAGAUAACUAGAGAGAGCGUGAGCAGGGAGGAAAGAGAAAAGCCGGCUCCCUACUGAGCAGGCAUGGGGGGUGGUACUCAAUCCCAGGACCCUGGGAUCAUGACCUGAGCCAAAGACAGAUGCUUAACUGACUGAGCCACCCACAUGCCCCUCUAUAUUUGUUUUCUAAAUACUAAUUUUAUUUCCUGUAAUGUUGCUUCAUUUCUUAUUAAGAUCUUGUAAAAUCUCAUUGCAUUUUUAAUUAAUUGAAUCCCCUUUUUCUAAUUCAACUACUUGGAAAUUUUGUCCUUUUUUUUUUUUUUUUUUAAUUACCUCUCUUUGUCUCAAUUUACAGAUUUGCCCUCUGAUCUUUCUUCUGUUUAUAGAAAUCAGGUUCUCCUGAAUUUUAUUUAAAAUACACAGGAGAUGUUCUUUUUUAAAAUACGGCACCACUUCCACUAUAACCAAGGGAAUCUCUUGAAUGUUAUGUCAGGUGAAUGGUACUCUUCCAUAGGUUCCUGUGCUGUUGCUGAGAUUAACUGUCUUUUGCAUCUCAAAAGAAACAUGUUAAAAGAGGAGUUAGCCAGCUGUGCCCUGUACCAUGCCCGCAGGAAGUGCCCUUUGAAUGGUGCUGUA